GUUAAUUUAACUCAACGACACACACGUUCCGACACAGUGAUCUGGGUGCUUGAAAAGUCUGCAAAGUCUUGGAUAGUUGAUCUCUGGGGUACGUGGAGGCUUAAC
rnacentral:sRNA from 1 species